UUCUUUUUUCCUUCUUCUUCUUCGGGUCACACCCUAGCCCCACGCCGUUGCCAUCACUCGCGCCGGUCUCCUCCGCCCUCGGUGGCUAUGGAUGGAGCAACGGCGGUGGUGGAGUCACAACGGCGGUGCGACAACAGUGGUUACGGGAAGAUGGUGGCAGAGGAGGGCAUCAUGGCCUAGGGAGGCUGCUGGAGUAGCUCGGCUGGGAGGGGUACGCUCGGCUGCUGCAGCGGCGAUUAGACAAGUCCAGAAGAACUAAAUUGCAUAGGAUGCAAAGCUUCUGGGGCAAAAGUGUAAUUUUAGAAAAAUAUAGGGCUAAAGUGUAAUUUCUAGAAAGUUUAGGGGUUAAAGUGAAAUUUUGAGAAAGUUUAAGGGUUAAAAUGUAAUUUUAGAAAAGUUUGGGGUCAAAAUGUAAAUUUUGAAAAGUACAGGGGUCAAAAUGCAAUUUUUUAAUUUUUUUUUUAACACGAAAUUAUUCCCGGACAAAAUUCAGUGAUUACAGGAAAUCAGUGGAAUUAAAUUAAUAAAACUACUUGGGUGUCUCAUUUCGAUCA